GUCCGGGGUUGCCUCAGGGUUUCUUUCAGGCCGCGCCAGGAGCCCCGGACCGAGCGCUGUCCUGACCCCACGGCAGCACCGGCGCAGCCCCUGGGCGGAGGCACAGGAGCGGAGGCGCGGCGGGGGCUCAGCGAAGCGACUUCUCCCUCGCGGGGAGCCGGGUCUGGCCAGUGGGGUCUUCCCGGAGCUGUGGCAGCCACGGUACACACUCGGACAUUCGCCACGGCAGCUUGAGGAAACGACUGUAUGCCCAUCGCAAACCGAACCGUACCUGCAGCUAUCCACAGGUUUUUAUCCACAGCCCCCCGAGGAGCUGGGUGAAGGGAGCUCUGAAAGACACAUCGCUCCUUUUCCCUUCUAAUGCUUUUCAGUUACACAGAAACAUCUGAACUUUUCCUUUCCCAUUGCAGUUAAGAGUAAAUACCAACCCAGGAGUGAGAGCCUGCUUCCCAGUCCUGAGUGAGAUCUAAAAGCUGCCACAUUCAAAUUUUGUUCUGUUCGACCGAAAGGUCUGUGUUACCAGUCCUGCUUCUUGGGGACACCAAACUUCCUGGAGCCUGUUAAACAGUAAAAUUCACUCAAGUAACUCAAAACCCAUUAAGUGGAAACAAGUUUCUAGAUGGUGUCAGUGGUUAAACCAAUGCAAGGGAUUCAGUUUCUAUCAGCCUAGAGAAAAUAUCCACACAAGUAUGAUAGUGCCUUACCACUGCCAGAGUUUACACAUCAGGCAUAUUACAGAUUCCACAAAAAACCCCAGGCUGCCACUCCAAGUCAGUCUUGCUCUAUCAUAAGAUACCAACGAAUUGUAUCACACUGUCAACAUCUAGGAGGUUGCAUAAGACAAUGACUGACUCCUUUUCACCCGGUUCCAAACAAGAUGCAGCGUUUGCUGAAUAUUUAAAUUCCUAGGCAAAACUUUGCAUUUAAAGGUGAAUGACUUAAAAGUUGAAACAGCUAACACAGUCUUGCUCCAAUAUAUUCCUUAAUGGCAAAAAGCUUUAGACAUCUAUAGCAAUCUGAGGAGUAAGGGAACUACAACCAAAAGGUAGCACAGAACCCUUUUACUAAGCCAACACAAAAUGUUGCAGAGUAACUGUGAAACAAUGAGCCGAACAAAAUUACAAAAUGAAUUUAUUCCAAAGCUGUAAGGGAACAUUUACAAUUCAACAAGAUGGUAAAAAGGUGUUUCCACAAGAACUCACUGCAUUAAAAUUAGAUGUGAAACUGGGGAAAAAUAAUCUAACUACUGAGGCCACAAGAACUUUGCACAUCACUUCUGAAAUACAGGACUCAUGUAAAGAAAACUCACUCAAAAUUCAGUGAGAAAAUAAGCUGCUAGCACCUAGCUACUAGUCUAAAUACAAGCUAUGUUUAGGCUUUGAGAUUACAUUUUUAAAUCCCCUCAAAACACCAAUUAUAGCUACAAGUGCAAAAUGUCUUUUUUUCCCUCCUUUUUUCCUCCAAUGGAAGCUUAUUACACAUCUAGUGUCUAUUUUCAGAGUGACAUUUUGGUCUCACAAAUUUGUCCUUGAAAGCUUUUUGCCAAGUUUUAUGGGUUUUGUGAUAAAUCAAAGUUGAGCAGCUGGCAGGUAAUCAGAAAUACAGUCAGCUCACAUGUCCUGGAAUGUCCAAAGUUUGCUGCCUAGUGUUCCAGAGUUAAGCAAAAAUAGACUUCUAAUUUAGCAUCAACAAUGUCUCUCACUUUGACAUAGUUUUGGUAUUUUGGCCAUCUGAUUAUAGUGAUAAAUAUCAGUGUUAAUGAAAACACCUGAGUCAGAUUCACAAACAAAUACAAAUAGAACCAGAGUGGGGAGACAUCACCUUCUGUAGAUAUCAAGUGGCUGAACAAAAAAAAAAAA